AGCUUGACCCGAUUGACGCGUCCUAUUAUUCAACGCUCAAACGGACGCGUCUCUCCCACUCUCUCGGUCUCUCACUUCCUCACUAACACAAAAUUCCUAACUAACUUAGUUAGAUUCGUGCUUUUCCUCACGGCGUGAUAGGGAUUCGAGUAGAGAUUUAUUUAAAACAGGAAGCAUAUCAAGAAAAUGUGCAUACAAUGGAGGGAUACUUCAGCUUGUACUAUGCCUUGUACGCGUUGUCUCUUGUGGUUGCUCUCACAUGUCUUGUUUAUAUCCAAGUCAACAUGGGGUGGGCUUUAGGUUUUGGAGCUCCUGUUUUGCUAAUGUUGUUUGCAACUCUUUCAAUUUAUUUGGGUACUCCAUUCUACGUGAAGCUGAAGCCCAAAUCGAGCUUAAUCACUAGCCUUUUUCAAGUGAUUGUAGCUGGUUAUAGAAAUAGAUGUCUCAGAUUGUCGCCAGAGAGUGCAGAUAUACUAUACUGUUAGAAAAAAGAAUCAAGCAUAGUUCUUCCAAGUGAUAAAUUAAGGUUUCUGAAUAAAGCUUGCAUUGUACAAGAUCCUCAGUUAGACUUGAUCCCAGAUGGAGAAGCAAUAGAUCCUUGGCGUCUUUGCACUGUCGAUCAAGUAGAGGAGCUGAAAGCAUUGCUCAAAGUUGUUCCAAUCCGGUUAACAGGGGUUGUAUUGGCCAUAAAUAUAAGCCAGAGCUCUUUUCCAGUACUUCAAGCGAAUACCAUGGAUCGACAUAUUAGGUCAAGCUUUGAAAUCCCAGCUGCCUCAUUUGACAUCUUUGCUGUCAUCUCUGGUAUACUUUGGAUUGUCCUCUAUGACUGUUUGAUUCUUCCCGUUGCAUCAAAAUUGACUGGGAAACCUGCUUAUUUCAGCACAAAAGAGAGAAUGGGGUUUGAUUUAGUUUUUUCCUUCCUUUCAGUCUUAGUGGUGGCAGUCGUGGAAGGUGUCCGGAGAAGUAUUGCAAUCAAGAAUGGGCACCAUCGACGACUUAACCAAAAGAGAAGGGCAAGAGAGUUGGAUGUCGAGCAAUAUAAACAAGGGUCAUUAUGACUAGUCUGGUUAACACACCCUGCUAUAUUGUUUUUAGUAGAGCUUAUGGUCCUUGUGUGUUGCUUGUGUAAAAUCUGAAACACACUGAGAUUAAUUGAACGCCCGGAGUGAUUAAUUGUGUGGUGGAUCUGUGUGAUAAAGUGUUGUGUGUGCCGAUUGAAUUCCUGUCUGAGUGAAGUGAUUGGGUGUAUUUUUUAUGCCGGUUCCUGGAUAUUGACAUGCA